CUACACCCCACAUGUAGCUCGUCCCUUGCCAGGGUGUGGAGGGAUGGAUUCUUUAGGACCCAGCUUUUCUCAGGAAGCAGAUUGUCAUCUGGCACCUUCCUGGAAAGGGAUGGAGGAGAAGGAAAAUGAAACUGGCCAGGAGAGAGGAGACGCCACUAGUUGUUGUCAAACCCCGGCUCCCAGGGAGGCUCUGAGGCCCUCCCUGAACACAGGUGAACCACAGUGGCUC
rnacentral:lncRNA from 1 species